rnacentral:rRNA from 1 species
AGCGAACGCUGGCGGCAGGCUUAACACAUGCAAGUCGCGCGCCCCGCAAGGGGAGCGGCAGACGGGUGAGUAACACGUGGGAACGUGCCUUUUGGUUCGGAACAACCCAGGGAAACUUGGGCUAAUACCGGAUCAGCCCUUACGGGGAAAGAUUUAUCGCCAAAAGAUCGGCCCGCGUCUGAUUAGCUAUUUGGUGGGGUAAUGGCCCACCAAGGCUACGAUCAGUAGCUGGUCUGAGAGGAUGAUCAACCACAUUGGGACUGAGACACGGCCCAAACUCCUACGGGAGGCAGCAGUGGGGAAUAUUGGACAAUGGGGGCAACCCUGAUCCAGCCAUGCCGCGUGAGUGAUGAAGGCCUUAGGGUUGUAAAGCUCUUUUAGCAGGGAAGAUAAUGACGGUACCUGCAGAAAAAGCCCCGGCUAACUUCGUGCCAGCCGCCGCAGUAA